UACGUAGGGACCAAGCGUUGUUCGGAUUUACUGGGCGUAAAGGGCGCGUAGGCGGCUUAACAAGUCACUUGUGAAAUCUCCGGGCUUAACUCGGAACGGCCAAGUGAAACUGUCAAGCUAGAGUGCAGAAGGGGCAAUCGGAAUUCUUGGUGUAGCGGUGAAAUGCGUAGAUAUCAAGAGGAACACCUGAGGUGAAGACGGUUGCUGGCUGACACUGACGCUGAGGCGCGAAGCUAGGAGCGAACGG
rnacentral:rRNA from 1 species